GAAAAGAGGGAUGGGGGAAUUGAGGGAGAGAAUGGGGGAAGGAAGGAGGGAAGGGAGAAGGGAAUGUUGAGGAAAAAAAUAUAGGGAAAGGAGUUAUAAAAAAUUCAACGAUAGGGAAAUGAAUGAGGAAAAAGUAUAAGUAUAAUAAGUAUAAACACAGAUAGGGAAAGGUAAAGGUGGGUGCAGACCUAAUAGCUGCGCGUGGCUUCGGUGCUCAUCUCCGAACUUUUGGUCCUUUAUUCCUGUGGUGGAUAAGAAGCUAAGAACCAUCACCCCGGGACUCAGGUCAGUGUGAAAUUCGGUAUAUCCACAGUUCACCUUCCCCAGGUUUCCCCAGGUACACAUUUAUUCACCAGUCCGAAAGGGAGGAUGAACACCUGGGUGGGCUGUGCGUGAAUGAAAAAUCGAGAUAAACAAUGAAUGAGGAAAGUAUGAGAGGAAGGAGUGAGAAAAAGACAAAAAUUAGAAAUGAGUGAGGAAAACAACAAGUAUAACAAACCAAUAAACAUAACUGGAAGAACCAUUAAAACAACAAAAGAUAAAAGAGAACAAGUGUUAAUAGCACAAAAAAAUGUGCUAGAUCGGCGUCGCAUGACCCUUCAACACGCCCCCAACAAUUUAUAUUAUGUAACUAGGGGUCUAAAAUGGAAAAUGCUGAAAAGUAGAGAUGGCGCCACUAUAAACACUUACCUGCGCCACAGCGGGCUGGGGCCGACCAUUAGGCCCUACUAUGAAGGCAUACCGGCGCCAGAGGCCAAGACGUUACAAAAAAAAAUAUCAUGCCAUGUUGUAGGAUUCAUCAGGGCUAACAAAUGUUAUUAUACAAUGUCAUGUCUACAAUGCAAGGACGACGCCGAUAAAAAGACCAGAGGAGAGAGACUGAUCGCCCAGUGACAACCAGGACAACCUUUACCCAGCGAGGCUCUCAACAAGAUAACGGCUCGAGAAUGUUUUGAGGCUGCUGACAGACAGGUAUCAGGACACCUCUCCUCCUGAAAUUGACCCCUCUUUUUGGCCACUCCUUUGACUUCUAUUCGGGAGCAGUAAGUAGCGGGCUUUUUUUUUAUAUUUUUCUUUACGCCCUUGAACUGUCUCCUUUGCUGUAAAAAAAAAAAAAAUAGACGUGAAACUUUGCACUCAGCUCCAUCGACGAAGAAACGGUGAAAAAAAACAUUGAUAACUUCGACGAUAAGAUUAAGACCUGAGUGUGACAUUCUCAGUGCGGUCACGUCAACUGGGAAAAAACACGCACACACAAAUUGGAAAGUGAAAACUGAUGCCAAUAAAAAUUAUACUAAGUUAAGUUAAGCCCAUAUUUUUACGCCUCGGUACCUCUGUUUGCCCGUUUGGAAAGCCACUCCUCUAUCCACCACAGAGGCAGAGAAAGACCUGGGACUUUAUAUUAAGGGGCUAUUACACUGGGCAAAUUUUCCGUGGAUCUUCAGUCAAACCACGAUUUCCGCUGGCUUGGUUCUCAUGUUACCGUGGUUUUCUGACGUGUCCACGAUCUUCCAAAGUUACGGCAGAUUUCACCAAAGGACGACGGUAUUACUCACCAUCAUCAUCAGCAGCAAUAACAAGAAACAAAUGAGUACCACGCUAUCGGAAAUCGUGGUUUGACUGAAGAUCCACGGAAAAUUUGCCCCUUGACCAGGCUAUCAGAAGGCCAAGUCCGUGCCAAUCGCAGCGGACGGGUUAAUAUACUGAAGGACUAAGCAAAUUGGAAACUAUACCAAUCUGAAGAGAACUUUGAUGUAUUAAAAGGCUUGGUAAACUGGAGUGCCGACAUAGCAAGAAAGAGGAGAAAUAAUUAACUUAAAAUCUUAAUAUUCAAACUUAUAAAGACGUCGCAAACUUAACCUCUCUACAUUGCAAGAAAGAAGAGAGGUGACUGACUUAAAAUCAUACUUGGAACUCAUUAAAAUUGCACAAAAUAAACCUUCCCAUAUCAAAAUAAAGAAGAAAGGGAACUGACUCUAUCAUGAUCAUCAAAUUCAUACAGAUUGCGCAAAAUGGAGCUGUUUAGAUUGCAAGAAAGAAGAAAGACUUGCUGGUAAAUAAUAGUGGAAGAACAAGGCGAUUCGAACAUAAUAUUAGAUUCGACUUACGGUAUUGGAACUCACAAAGGGCCAGGAACAUACAGACGCGGAAGACUCACUGGUAAAGAAUAGUGGAAGAACAAGGCGAUUCGAACAUAAUAUUAGAUUCGACUUACGGUAUUGGAACUCACAAAGGGCCAGGAACAUACAGACGCGGAAGACUCACUGGUAAAGAAUCGCGGAGGAACAAGGCGCCAUGAACCUAAACCGAGGAAAACAAAUGACGAGAGAAUGUAAACAGCAAACUAUCGCCAUCCGCAACAGACUCAGGACGCGGGGAUGAUAAAUAAUAGACCAGAACAACCAUGAAUCGAAAGCAAAGUUGGGAGGAAAGCAGAUUUGAGGUAGAGAGGAUAACACGAGAAGGAGAAAGAGGAUGAAAGGGAAGUAAAAGAAGAAAGAGGUGGAGGAGGAAGAAGAGGACGUGGAUUAAGAGGAGAAAGAGGAUGAAAGGGAAGUAAAAGAAGAAAGAAGUGGAGGAGAAAGAGGAAGAGGACGUGGAUUAAGAGGAGAAAGAGGAUGAAAGGGAAGUAAAAGAAGAAAGAAGUGGAGGAGAAAGAGGAAGAGGACGUGGAUUAAGAGGAGAAAGAGGAGGAGACAGUGAUGAGAAGGAUGAGGAAGAAGACAAAGAAUAUGAAGAGGAUGAGGAGUGGACAACGAAGAUGAGAAUUAGAGGAACAUGACAGGAACAAAGACAACAUCGAGAACACACACACACACACACACACACACACACACACACACACACACACACACACACACACACACACACACACACACACACACAC